UACGGAUGGAGCAAGCGUUGUUCGGAAUCACUGGGCAUAAAGCGCGUGUAGGCGGCCUUGAAAGUAGGGUGUGAAAUCCCCUGGCCCACCCAGGGAACUGCAUUCUAAACUUCAAGGCUUGAGUGAAGAAAGGGAGAGUGGAACUCCUGGUGGAGCGGUAAAAUGCGUAGAUAUCAGGAGGAACGCCGGUGGAGAAGUCGACUCUCUGGUCUUUUACCGACGCUGAGAUGCGAAAGCUAGGGGAG
rnacentral:rRNA from 1 species